CGUGAUCGCGUGUCACUGGAGCAACAUACCCACGGGAAAGAAGGAAGGAAGAAGCCAGGCUGUAAAGUAAUAAAAGCACAGCAGAGCUGGCUGCGAGAGGAGAGAGAAGAAGAGACAGGCUGGCUGGAAAGGACAGCUCUGCUGAGCCCAGGAGAAAAUGGUUUGAGUAAUUAUCAACGCCUGCCGCUAUGUGGCCAGGAAAAUGAGGUCCCUUUGCAGCCGGGAGCACCAGGAGCCACCACCCUGCCCGGCACAAGCAACCGCACGCUGUCGUCACCAAAAUGUAAAGGCAGAGGGAUCAGCACCUCCCCAAGCAAGAGCCUCGCUUCCCAGGAACAGUGACGCCAUCCAAAUCCAGCCCUGUAGGUCCUGAGGGUAAAAGCCCUCAUGGUCUUCCCCUGAAGGCCACAAGCUUGCUUCCCACCAGUUUCCUCAGGGAAUCAAUUUUCUGUGAAUCCUUCACCCCAGGACUAGAAAAUAUCAGCAAAUCCCUACUUCAUCUGCUCUCAACAUAGAUAGAAACUGUCUUGAUCAAUCUCUUGUUAUCGGAAUUUUCUAGCUGGCAGAUGAAAAAAGAUUGGCAAUGUGUGUCGGAUGCUCCUGGCACCUUUGGGCCAUGGAGCACCAGCAGAAGAGCCAUUGUAUCCUAGCAGCAAAUUGGAUUUUUAUACCGUGAAACCAAAUUAUGCUCCUAAUAAUAAAGGUCUACAUUGAGAGUAUGUCCAUGAAGGCAAAAUCAGCUCAUGAGCUGCAUUAAGGAGUCUUAGAGAUUAGUUCUGAGGAAAUCCCGUGAUGUUUUGUACCAUCCCCUUCCCCAUGCCCAGUAAAGUGGUGAAGUUGUAAUACCGGGCAGCCAGCACCUCGGCAUGAUGCUCAGCACCCACAGAGCAGAGGGGUCACAGGGACGACUGUCAGAUCCCCCCUCCAGCAAACCCCACGCCGUCACAGAGAGCAAUGACAGCAGAAUCACAAACUCCGCACACGCGGGGAGGAAUCUGCCCGACCUUUUCGUGUGAUAGCCCAAGCUGAACCAGAAAUAAAGAUGGAUGAGAAAAG